rnacentral:lncRNA from 1 species
CACUGGGUAUCAUCAAACUUUUUGCAAAUAUAUAAAAAAUGGUAUCUCAUUUUAAAAUUUAUCAUUUCUUUACUUUUCCAAGUGGGAGAAAAAAAAAAUAAAUGAAUAAGAUUUAUCAUUCCUUUAAUGAGAAGUAAUAUAAUUAAAACUUAUCACUUAUUUAAUGAGAAGCAAUAUAAUUAAAAGCUGAUUUUUUUUUUUGCAUAAGCAAUAAGGCAAAAACCCAAGUCUCAUUUUUUUCCAAAUGGUUAGCCAGUUAUCCUCAAAUGGUUUGUUGACUAAUCCAUAUUUUUCCCCAUUGAUUUGAAAUGCUGAAAUGUCGUUUUUCUUGUUUAGUAAAUUUUCUUAUGUACUUAGGAACCAAGUUAUACGCUCUACAGAUACUAAAGGAAAUAAACAUACUUCUCGAGAAAGCUGUUUUGCCAAUACGGUAACCGUGGUGGCGGGCGCCUGUAGUCCCAGCUACUCGAGAGGCUGAGGCCCCCUCAUCACCUUCUUCCUUCUGUCCAACCUCCACUGCCCCGGCCUUGACCCCUCCCCAACUCCUUCCUCCUAUCAGGUCUGGACCCUACCCCCACCAUUCUCACCUCAGUCUUCCACCAAUCAGGCCUCAACCCCACCACCCUUCCCCCACACUCGCACCUCCAACCACCUCCAGCCACCUUCAACUGCUCCCAACCGGUUUUCCAAGCAGGCU